AAGUACUACACAUGAAAAAUCUACUGAAUUAUUUAGUUUUAUUAUAUACUUCAUAUUACAUCAAAUAACAUUUUCAGGAAGACUAUAAAUAAACAAUGUGAUAAUUUUGAAACAAAAUAGUUCUUACCUGGUUAUAAUCAGUGUCAUUUUGUUGAUCAACUAAAGACCAUAUUCUCUUUGGAGCUUUAAAAUAGUAAGCAGACUUUAAAAUAAUAAGUAAACAAUAAUUAAUGCUGAUUUAAUCUGUCUGAGAUUUCACAGAAAACAAUGAACCAGACAUGCGACAAUGUUAGACAGUAGACAAUCACGUACGCUUUCUAAGGAACGCGACUCCUAUCCAUAUGUUUCCUGAUUGAUGGUUUUCUACCAAGCUUUACUGAACCUCACAGUUACACAUGAGACCACACAUAAGAAAGACUAUGAAAGUUUUCAUCUUGCUUGUAUUUCUGUUGAUAAAUUCUGUCUCAGCUCAACCACUAUUGGAUGUGAUGUUGGACGGACGUGGAAUGGAAGAUGUAGCCCUGGUGCACCUGAUGUACAAGAUGGGUGGGGACCAUCGCAAAACCUGAUUGAAGAUAGAAGAAGAUCUGGGGACCAUCAUGAGUGACAUGAUUAUAACUUCUAAGCACACUGUUAGUGUUUACUAAACAAACACAAUUAAAGAGAAUAAAGAAAAACAGUAACACAA